rnacentral:rRNA from 1 species
UACGUAGGGUGCAAGCGUUGUCCGGAAUUAUUGGGCGUAAAGAGCUCGUAGGCGGUCUGUCGCGUCUGCUGUGAAAACUCAGGGCUUAACCCUGAGCUUGCAGUGGGUACGGGCAGACUAGAGUGCGGUAGGGGAGACUGGAAUUCCUGGUGUAGCGGUGAAAUGCGCAGAUAUCAGGAGGGAACACCGGUGGCCGGAAGGCGGGUCUCUGGGCCGUAACUGACGCUGGAGG